rnacentral:rRNA from 1 species
UACGAAGGGGGCUAGCGUUGUUCGGAAUUACUGGGCGUAAAGCGUACGUAGGCGGAUUUGUAAGUAGGGGGUGAAAUCCCCAGGCUCAACCUGGGAACUGCCUUCUAGACUGCAAGUCUCGAGAUCAGGAGAGGCGAGUGGAAUUCCGAGUGUAUAGGUGAAAUUCGUAGAUAUUCGGAGGAACACCAGUGGCUAAGGCGACUCGCUGGACUGAUACUGACGCUGAGGUACGAAAGCGUGGGGUGCAAACAGG